UAGGGAAUCUUCCACAAUGGACGCAAGUCUGAUGGAGCAACGCCGCGUGAGUGAAGAAGGUUUUCGGAUCGUAAAGCUCUGUUGUUGGUGAAGAAGGAUAGAGGCAGUAACUGGUCUUUAUUUGACGGUAAUCAACCAGAAAGUCACGGCUAACUACGUGCCAGCAGCCGCGGUAAUACGAAGGUGGCAAGCGUUGUCCGGAUUUAUUGGGCGUAAAGCGAGCGCAGGCGGAAUGCUAAGUCUGAUGUGAAAGCCCACGGCUCAACCGUGGAACUGCAUCGGAAACUGUCAUUCUUGAGUGCAGAAGAGGAGAGUGGAAUUCCAGGUGUAGCGGUGGAAUGCGUAGAUAUAUGGAAGAACACCAGUGGCGAAGGCGGCUCUCUGGUCUGCAACUGACGCUGAGGCUCGAAAGCGUGGGUAGCGAACAGG
rnacentral:rRNA from 1 species